AACGAACGCUGGCGGCAUGCCUAACACAUGCAAGUCGAACGAGACCUUCGGGUCUAGUGGCGCACGGGUGCGUAACGCGUGGGAACCUGCCCUUAGGUUCGGAAUAACUCCCCGAAAGGGGUGCUAAUACCGGAUAAUGUCUUCGGACCAAAGAUUUAUCGCCUUUGGAUGGGCCCGCGUUGGAUUAGCUAGUUGGUAGGGUAAAAGCCUACCAAGGCGAGGAUCCAUAGCUGGUCGGAGAGGAUGAUCAGCCGCACUGGGACUAAGACACGGCCCAGACUGCGACGGGGGAGAGCAGUAGGGAGUAUUAGGCAAUGGACGAAAGCCUAGUCCAGCAAUGCCGCGGAAGUGGGGAAGGCCUUAGUAUUGUAAAGCUCUUUUACCCGGGAUGAUAAUGACAGUACCGGGAAAAUAAGCUCCGGCUAACUCCGUG
rnacentral:rRNA from 1 species